AGAACCAGAAGACAUUGAU
rnacentral:sRNA from 1 species